GAAGGUGGGGAUGACGUCAAGUCAGCAUGCCCCUUACGUCCUGGGCUACACACGUACUACAAUGCUACGGACAAAGGGCCGCAAGCUAGCGAUAGCAAGCAAAUCCCAUAAACCGUGGCUCAGUUCAGAUUGCAGGCUGCAACUCGCCUGCAUGAAGGCGGAAUCGCUAGUAAUCCCAGAUCAGCACGCUGGGGUGAAUACGUUCCCGGGCCUUGU
rnacentral:rRNA from 1 species